rnacentral:lncRNA from 1 species
AUCAUUUUCUAAGUGAUUAUCUCAUUUGUUUCAUCGAAAAAGAAUUGCUUGCGAUGUCACGAAUGAAGAAGUGUUGAUCUGAUUUCUAGCAAUGAGUGAAAGAAGAAUGCAUUUAUAAAAUGUUGUUUUAAUAUUUAUUUUAAUAUUUUCAAAAUAUUUUAUUUUAUUGUUUUCAGAAUAUUUUAUUUAAUAUUUAUUUAGAGUAAUUGGCGUAGAUACACCAAGAAACUUAUGUAAUUUACCAUAUAACCUUGUUUUUUUUUAAAUAUUUUUAAUGACUAUAAUACCUUUAUCUCUAUCUCUCUCUCUUCUCCCUUUUAUGUGUUCUAAUCUCUUUACCUCUCGUAUAAAUUCUUCAAAUCAUCUUCUAAUUCAACACAAAUCUUUAUUUUUUUUAUUCUGAUUCUUUUGACACCCAUAAUGCUAAUUUUAUUA